AUCCUGCGCAUCAAAUCUGCGCAGAAUACUGUACGUGUGAAUAGACCAUUAAAGAGAAACUCUACCUUUAUUAUGUUGUGCUCUCACAGCCUAGCUCUAAAAGUUAUAUAAGUUUGCAAUUUACACAGUUACACAACUGUUUACACACACACCUCCAUUCCUACUGUAGCCUCUAACAACAAGCUGUGUACAUUCAACUCUGCUACAUCAUGGAUGUGUGUGUGUGAACACAGUCCAACAGCGCAACUAAGGUCCAUAACAGGGACUGCACGACAAACAGAAAAUAAUCACAACUUAUUUACUGCUUAGUUAUGGGGUCAGAACCUAGUGUCAAUUCUUAAGAGAUGUGGCUACCCACUGUGAUUUUCAUGCAAACCCUACAACACCCACAAGUGAGACUCAUAACAUUGCAUUUCACCCUGUAGAUAAGUUACAGAUGUAGCUGAGCUGAGUUUGUCAGUUGAAAUGAAACAGUAACACAGUCCUGUAGAGUUCCAUGACAAGUGAAUGCUCACAACACAAGUAGAGAUAGUAACAUGUUCUGCAAGACUAAUACUGUGCACUGGGAUCAUUUCCAGAUACAAAUACUGGAAAACCUUGGGAUUUCUGGACAUAAGCCAGAAUUAUUAACUGUGGCAUAUUCUGCAGCUGCAGAGCAUUAGCCCUGAGAUGAAGCCAGUACAGUAUAUCCUGCACACAUAAUAGAUAGAAAGCAACUAAACUAGAGGAACAAAGAAACAGAAGUCAGAAACAACAUAUCCGGAAGCUGGCCCCUUUUUCUUCCAGUGGCUUGCUGUGCACCUCGGCCUCCGCCAUGUUGUGUUCGAACUCAAGAACACUCAGCAGGGCCAAGCAUGUGUAUAGAGGGAUUGCAUGAGAUUACUGUCAGCAGGGCAGAGUCGGUCAACAGGUUUUGUAGAUAAUUGUUAAACAGCGGUAUUCACAUCCUGGAGACAGCAUUCCACAUGUGUCCUUAUGAUGCUCCAUGACUCAUGUUAUUCUAGCAUAUGAAUGAAGUGAAGUGAAGCAGUCGGCAUUUCGGCUGGAUGUCCGGUGCACGUGGAGAGACAAUAAAAUGUAAAGAGAGGUCCUGGCAGGUAAAGAAACAUUUCAAUGCAAUACUUAAUACAUGUCUCCAAUGGAAUCGCCUGUUCAUGCCAAUGUAAAAAGCAGUGCUCGAUUCUCUGCAGAACAUGUACACAUAAGGGAAGUCAUAUGAGAAGUAUAAAUGAA